GCAGCCGUGGCCUAUGGUUAGCGCUUCGGACUUGUAACCGGAGGGUUGCCGGUUCGAACCCCAACACGGCUGAA
rnacentral:tRNA from 1 species